UUCCAACAAUGUCAUUAACAUUUAACUCAUUGAAUACCACCCUUUUUCACUGGAGCAACCCCCUCAAUCCCUCACAUUUUACUGAAUUUUGACUGAUUUGCAAGGCCCACAUAAUUUUCUGUUCUACGGCUAUAUAAACGUGCGACCAAAAAAAAGUUUGUUUCUAUCUUUC